GGAGCACCACAACGGGUGGAGCCUGCGGUUUAAUCGGACUCAACGCCGGGAAUCUCACCGGAUAAGACAGCUGAAUGAUAGUCGGGAUGAAGACUCUACUUGACUAGCUGAGAGGAGGUGCAUGGCCGUCGUCAGUUCGUACUGUGAAGCAUCCUGUUUAGUCAGGCAACGAGCGAGACCCACGCCAACAGUUGCCAGCUUGGCCUUCGGGCUGAUGGGGACGACUGUUGGGACCGCCUCUGCUAAAGGGGAGGAAGGACUGGGCAACGGUAGGUCAGCAUGCCCCGAAUUAUCCGGGCUACACGCGGGCUACAAUGGUCAGGACAAUGGGCUCCGACACCGAAAGGUGUAGGUAAUCUCCUAAACCUGUCCGAAGUUCGGAUUGCGGGUUGUAACUCACCCGCAUGAAGCUGGAAUCCGUAGUAAUCGCGUUUCAACAUAGCG
rnacentral:rRNA from 1 species